UUGAAACUGAAUGUCCUUAGGGCAUGUUUGGGUGUCCGUAAGUGAUUGAAGUGAAAAAAGUUACUUUUUAAAAAGUGAUUUUUAUAAAAGUCACUUUUGAGUUCAAAUGUUUGGUUUAAAAAAAGUGAAAUAAAAAGGUGUAAUUUUUAUGACUUCUAUUGUUUGGUUCUAUAUAAUCCAUCAACAUUCACAAAUAUUUUAUU
rnacentral:lncRNA from 1 species